UAGAUACCCUGGUAGUCCUGGCCGUAAACGAUGGGCACUGGGUAGGGGGAUCGCCGAUGGUCUCCCUGCCGUAGCGAAAGCGUGAAGUGCCCCGCCUGGGGAGUAUGGUCGCAAGGCUGAAACUCAAAGGAAUUGACGGGGGCUCACACAAGCGGUGGAGCAUGUGGCUUAAUUCGAGGCUACGCGAAGAACCUUAUCCUGGGCUUGACAUGCAGGGAUUAGUCGGCGGAAACGUCGAUGACGCCGCAAG
rnacentral:rRNA from 1 species